UAUGAAGAACGUAGCGAAAUGCGAUAAGUAAUGUGAAUUGCAGAAUUCAGUGAAUCAUCGAAUCUUUGAACGCACAUUGCGCCCGCCAGUAUUCUGGCGGGCAUGCCUGUUCGAGCGUCAUUUCAACCAUCAAGCCCCAGGCUUGUGUUGGGGACCUGCGGCUGCCGCAGGCCCUGAAAACCAGUGGCGGGCUCGCUGUCACACCGGGCGUAGUAGAUUUUAUCUCGCUCUGGGCGUGCUGCGGGUUCCGGCCGUUAAAAAACCCUUUUAACCCAAGGUUGACCUCGGAUCAGGUAGGAAUACCCGCUGAACUUAAGCAUAUCAAUAAGCGGAGGA
rnacentral:misc_RNA from 1 species